rnacentral:rRNA from 1 species
AGUGAACGCUGGCGGUAGGCCUAACACAUGCAAGUCGAACGGCAGCACAGUAAGAGCUUGCUCUUACGGGUGGCGAGUGGCGGACGGGUGAGGAAUACAUCGGAAUCUACUUUUUCGUGGGGGAUAACGUAGGGAAACCUACGCUAAUACCGCAUACGACCUACGGGUGAAAGCAGGGGAUCUUCGGACCUUGCGCGAUUGAAUGAGCCGAUGUCGGAUUAGCUAGUUGGCGGGGUAAAGGCCCACCAAGGCGACGAUCCGUAGCUGGUCUGAGAGGGUGAUCAGCCACACUGGAACUGAGACACGGUCCAGACUCCUACGGGAGGCAGCAGUGGGGAAUAUUGGACAAUGGGCGCAAGCCUGAUCCAGCCAUACCGCGUGGGUGAAGAAGGCCUUCGGGUUGUAAAGCCCUUUUGUUGGGAAAGAAAAGCAGCAGGUUAAUACCCCGCUGUUCUGACGGUACCCAAAGAAUAAGCACCGGCUAACUUCGUG